GUGGGGAAUAUUGGACAAUGGGCGCAAGCCUGAUCCAGUCAUGCCGCGUGAGUGAUGAAGGCCCUAGGGUUGUAAAGCUCUUUCACCGGUGAAGAUAAUGACGGUAACCGGAGAAGAAGCCCCGGCUAACUUCGUGCCAGCAGCCGCGGUAAUACGAAGGGGGCUAGCGUUGUUCGGAAUUACUGGGCGUAAAGCGCACGUAGGCGGGUAUUUAAGUCAGGGGUGAAAUCCCAGAGCUCAACUCUGGAACUGCCUUUGAUACUGGGUACCUAGAGUAUGGAAGAGGUGAGUGGAAUUCCGAGUGUAGAGGUGAAAUUCGUAGAUAUUCGGAGGAACACCAGUGGCGAAGGCGGCUCACUGGUCCAUUACUGACGCUGAGGUGCGAAAGCGUGGGGAGCAAACAGGAUUAGAUACCCGUGUAGUCC
rnacentral:rRNA from 1 species